UACGUAGGGGGCUAGCGUUGUCCGGAAUCAUUGGGCGUAAAGCGCGUGUAGGCGGUCCGGUAAGUCCGCUGUGAAAGUCGGGGGCUCAACCCUCGAAAGCCGGUGGAAACUGUCGGGCUAGAGUGCGGAAGAGGCGAGUGGAAUUCCUGGUGUAGCGGUGGAAUGCGCAGAUAUCAGGAAGAACACCCGUGGCGAAGGCGGCUCUCUGGAACGCAACUGACGCUGAGACGGCGAAAGCGUGGGGAGCAAACAGG
rnacentral:rRNA from 1 species